rnacentral:rRNA from 1 species
CCUACGGGCGGCAGCAGUGAGGAAUAUUGGUCAAUGGUCGGGAGACUGAACCAGCCAAGCCGCGUGAGGGAUGAAGGUACAGAGUAUCGUAAACCUCUUUUGUCAGGGAACAAAGGCGGGGACGUGUCCCCGGAUGAGUGUACCUGAAGAAAAAGCAUCGGCUAACUCCGUGCCAGCAGCCGCGGUAAUACGGAGGAUGCGAGCGUUAUCCGGAUUUAUUGGGUUUAAAGGGUGCGCAGGCGGUCUGUUAAGUCAGCGGUAAAAGCCCGGGGCUCAACCCCGGCCCGCCGUUGAAACUGGCAGUCUCGAGUUGGAGAGAAGUAUGCGGAAUGCGCGGUGUAGCGGUGAAAUGCAUAGAUAUCGCGCAGAACUCCGAUUGCGAAGGCAGCAUGCCGGCUCCACACUGACGCUGAGGCACGAAAGCGGGGGUAUCGAACAGGAUUAGAUACCCUAGUAGUC